GACAGAGGAGCCAAGCGUUGUCCGGAUUGACUGGGCGUAAAGCGCACGCAGGCGGUCCGGCGCGUCGGGUGUGAAAACUGGCGGCUUAACUGCCAGAGGCCAUCCCAAACGGCGCAACUCGAGCCAUGCAGAGGUCCACGGAAUUGCCGGUGUAGUGGUGAAAUGCGUAGAGAUCGGCAGGAACACCCAGGGGGAAACCAGUGGACUGGGCAUGUGCUGACGCUCAGGUGCGAAAGCGUGGGGAGCGAACCGG
rnacentral:rRNA from 1 species